UGUGCGUGGAGGUUACAGAGAGGUGAUGGUCUAGUGGUUAAGCAGUGGGCUAGACACCAGAGGACCCUCUGUUCAAACCCCCAUCUGGCCAGAACAUCACUAAGGGCCCUUGGGCAAGGUCCUUAUUCCCCCAAGUUGCUCCCAGUGUGUAGUGAGCACCU